GUAAAUGGAAAUGAUCCUUUCAAUAUUGCUUAAUGUGAAAUUCAAGAUCAAAUCAAUCAACCUCAAUUUAUCUUGACGAAAGUAAUUCAAACACAGCUAAAUUAGCUACAACAUCAUUGAGGGGAGUAUAGGUCUAAUCUAUUCGUAAAAGAGUCAAGUACAAAAAGGUCAUUUAGUAAUUAAGAAUAAGAUUAAGAAUAUUGGACACAUUACAUGAGAAAAACGAAUUAUGGAACUCGGUAGCCUCAACAUAUGUGACAAGUAGACAAUUAGAAAAAUAUAACAAUAAUAAUAACCUUCAACUUGGAAGAACAUGUAAACCAAAUACGAAAGAAAAAUGACGAUAAUAAGCAAAAUAAUAAAACAUGAAACGAUGACACCGAAAACAAAACUUACCACGACUCCCAUUCACAAGAUUGUUUGAUAUUUUUCCCGACUUACUAAUCUUCUCAGCUUUUGAUGUUGCAGCCCGAAACAAACUCAACUUAAAUUACCAAAUAUGCAUGUUUCUUUAAAAAAGAUGACGUUUUGCUCAUAGAUUCACACUUAUCUCAUUCAACAGUAAAGACAUCCAUCUCAUUUAAUAGUAAAGUC
rnacentral:lncRNA from 1 species